rnacentral:rRNA from 1 species
CCUACGGGAGGCAGCAGUGAGGAAUAUUGGUCAAUGGGCGCGAGCCUGAACCAGCCAAGUCGCGUGAGGGAUGACGGCCCUAUGGGUUGUAAACCUCUUUUGUCGGGGAGCAAAAGCCGGACGUGUCCGGCUGUGAGAGUACCCGAAGAAAAAGCAUCGGCUAACUCCGUUCCAGCAGCCGCGGUAAUACGGAGGAUGCGAGCGUUAUCCGGAUUUAUUGGGGUUAAAGGGUGCGCAGGCGGAUUUUUAAGUCAGCGGUAAAAUCGUGGGGCUCAACCCCAUCCAGCCGUUGAAACUGGGGAUCUAGAGUGUGCGAGAGGUAUGCGGAAUGCGUGGUGUAGCGGUGAAAUGCAUAGAUAUCACGCAGAACCCCGAUUGCGAAGGCAGCAUACCGGUGCACAACUGACGCUCAGGCACGAAAGCGUGGGUAUCGAACAGGAUUAGAUAUCCUAGUAGUC